rnacentral:tRNA from 1 species
GCCCUCGUAGUUCAACGGACAGAACAUCCCCGUCCUAAGGGGCAAAUGACCGUUCGAUUCGGUCCGAGGGCA